AAUCUCGGGAAACUGGGAACAAUUCCCCAUAGGUCAUGGAUGCUGGAAUGCUUCAUGGCUCAAAGCUCCGGCGCCUUAGGAUGAGUCUGCGGCCUAUCAGGUUGUAGUGGGUGUAACGGACCCACUAGCCAGCGACGGGCACGGGCGUUGGGAGACGUCGCCCGGAGUUGGAUUCUGAGACACGAAUCCAGGCCCUACGGGGCGCAGCAGUCGCGAAAACUUGUCAAUGGGGGAAACCCCGAACAGGGGACGCCAAGUGCAUGCGUUUUACAUAUGCUGUUCGGCUGUCUAAAAAACAGUUGAAGUAAGGGCUGGGUAAGACAGGUGCCAGCCGCCGCGGUAAUACCUGCAGCCCAAGUGGUAAUCGUUAUUAUUGAGCCUAAAGCGUCCGUAGCCGGUUCGGUAAAUCCUCGGGUAAAUCGGGCAGCUUAACUGUCCGAACACCGGGGAGACUGCCGGACUUGGGACCGGGAGAGGUCAGAGGUACUCCAGGGGUAGGGGGCUAAAUCCUGUAAUCCUUGGAGGACCACCAGUGGCGAAGGCGUCUGACUAGAACGGAUCCGACGGUAAGGGACGAAACCCUGGGGCGCAAACCGGAUUAGAUACCCGGGUAGUCCAGGGCGUAAACGCUGCAGGCUUGGUGUUGGGGGCCCUACGUGGGCGCUCAGCGCCGGAGUGAAGAUGUUAAGCCUGCCGCUUGGGAGUAUGUCCGCAAGGAUGAAACUUAAA
rnacentral:rRNA from 1 species